rnacentral:lncRNA from 1 species
AUGGGGGUACCUCUCCGGGUCAGCCCCUCGGGGAUGGAGGGACCUCUUCCUGGUCAGGCCCUCGGGGACGGGGGUACCUCUCCCGGGUCAGCCCCUCGGGGACGGGGGGACCUCUCUAGGGUCAGCCCCUUGGGGAUGGGGGUACCUCUCCUGGGUCAGCGCCUUGGGAACCAUGGGGCCCCUCCCCGAUCAGCCCCUUGGGGACUGGGGUACCUCUCCCGGGUCAGCCCCUCGGGGAUGGGGGUACCUGUCGGGUCAGACCCUCGGGGACGUGUGGGACCCCUCCCCAGUCAGCCCCUCAGGGAUGGAGGCACCUCUUCCUGGUCAGGCCCUCGGGGACGGGGGGACCUCUCUCGGGUCAGGCCCUCAGGGAUGGGGGGGACCUCUCGGGUCAGUCCCUCGGGGACAGAGGGACCCCUCCCCGGUCAGGCCCUCAGGGACGGGGGGGGAGGAGGGAUCUCUCUUGGGUCAGCCCCUCGGGGAUGGUGGUACCUCUCCUGGGUCAGCGCCUUGGGGACUGGGGUACCUCUCCCGGGUCAGCCCCUCGGGGACGGGGGGACCUCUCCCGGGUCAGCCCCUUGGAGACUGGGGUACCUCUCCGGGUCAGCCCCUCGGGGACGGGGGGGGGGGGGGGGGGGGGACCUCUCGGGUCAGGCCCUCGGGGACGGGUGGGACCCCUCCCCAGUCAGCCCCUCGGGGAUGAAGGGACUUCUUCCUGGUCAGGCCUCGGGGACGGGGGGACCUCUCUCGGGUCAGGCCCUCGGGGACGGGGGGAAGGAGGGACCUCUCUUGGGUCAGCCCCUCGGGGAUGGUGGUACCUCUCCUGGGUCAGCGCCUUGGGGACUGGGGUACCUCUCCCGGGUCAGCCCCUCGGGGACGGGGGUACCUGUCGGGUCAGACCCUCGGGGACGUGUGGGACCCCUCCCCAGUCAGCCCUCGGGGAUGGAGGCACCUCUUCCUGGUCAGGCCCUCGGGGACGGGGGUACCUGUCGGGUCAGGCCCUCGGGGACGGGGGGACCUCUCUCGGGUCAGGCCCUCAGGGACGGGGGGGGACAUCUCGGGUCAGCCCCUCGAGGACAGAGGGACCCCUCCCCGGUCAGGCCCUCAGGGACGGGGGGGAGGAGGGACCUGUCUCGGGUCAGCCCCUUGGGGACGGGGGGGACCUUUCUCGGGUCAGGCCCUUAG